UUCUUUUUUUUUUAACUUUACAAUCAUAUUAUAUAAAAAAUACACAUACAGCUAUGAUUGAAGGAUUGGACAACAGAACUAGAAUCCCAUACUAAGUCCAUCCAUCUAACACUAAAACACGACAUAUUACAGACUGCAAACUGGACAACGUAAAUACUGAUUUUACAGGCCUUUAUACUAUAUAAAACAUGCAAGAAUAAAUACAUAACUACACUACUGUGAAAUUAUUUGUGAGGUUCAGUUUUGACCCCCACCACCACCAGCACCACUAGUUAGAAACCACUAACCACUUACAUGCAAACCAGGUCAGCGCGAGGUAGUGAUAGCGCGCCGACCUAACCUUUGUAAAUCCUCAACCUUCAGAUCAUCCUACUUUAACA